rnacentral:siRNA from 1 species
UGAUGACACUUGUCCAAAUUGGA